CACGUACAUCCAAGUGAAGUGAUCAUGUGGUCACGUUGUAGUGGAUGCUAAGAAAGAUGUACAGGUGAAAGAACAUUGUUAUCCCAUGACAACAUAAUUAGUAUACUGCAUGAUGAUGCUCGGUGUUGGAUGGUGGUAGGCCUACUUGGCAUUGAGUCUACACUUUCUAUGGAAAAAUAUCUGCAGAACAUGGACAAGAUGAUGGACUCGCCAUUCAGAGGAAAAAUGAGGAACAAGAACCUGCAAAGAGACGGAGUAUGCAGCUGGAGGCUUCUGAUUGUCACUGCGUUGUAAACAAAUCCACUUUUCUCAAAUAAACCCCGUCAAGAAAUGGCACUAGCACUAGGAAAGGAAGAGGAAGAUGAUUGGCAGAGUGAUAGUGGUGAUGAUGAGGAAGAGGAGGAACAUCAGAGUGAUAGCUAUGAGGAUUAUGGCCUGUACCCAAUGGAGUCUGCACAAGAUAUUGUACAGCGGACUGGAGGAAGAAAGAAGAAACAAGCACCAAAGGAAUAAUUAAAGAUUAUGAAAGAAUAAGAAUGCUUAUAAUUUUACAUCAACUGUGUAUACCUCAGAAUACCUCACGUUUAAUUUAGUUACCCC
rnacentral:lncRNA from 1 species